UACGUGGGGGGCAAGCGUUGUCCGGAAUCAUUGGGCGUAAAGAGCGUGUAGGCGGCCUGAUAAGUCGGCUGUGAAAGUCAAGGGCUCAACCCUUGAAUGCCGGCCGAUACUGUCAGGCUAGAGUCCGGAAGAGGCGAGUGGAAUUCCUGGUGUAGCGGUGAAAUGCGCAGAUAUCAGGAGGAACACCGGUGGCGAAGGCGGGUCUCUGGGCCGAUAUUGACGCUGAGGAGCGAAAGCGUGGGGAGCAAACAGG
rnacentral:rRNA from 1 species